UUUUUGAAAAUAAUUUAAAGUCUAAUCUGCCCACUGAUAUAAUUAUUAAAGGGCUGCAGUAUAUUGACUGUACAAAGGUAGCAUAAUCAUUAGUCUUUUAAUUGAAGACUUGUAUGAAAGAUUUGAUGAAAUAUAAACUGUCUCUAAUUUAUUAAAUAAAAUUUAAUUUUUUAGUUAAAAAGCUAAAAUAAAAUUAAAAGACGAGAAGACCCUAUAGAGUUUUAUAAUUGAAUUAUUUAAUAUUAAAUAUAUAAAUAUUAAAUUAAAAUUAAUUUAAUUAUUUUAUUGGGGUGAUAGAAAAAUUAAAAAAACUUUUUUUAAAUAAUAAACAUAAAUAAGUGAAUAAAUGAUCCAUUAAAUAAUGAUUAUAAGAAAAAAUUACCUUAGGGAUAACAGCGUAAUAUUUUUUUUUAGUACAAAUAAAAAAAAAAGUUUGCGACCUCGAUGUUGGAUUAAGAUAAAAUUUAAAUGCAAAAGUUUAAAAUUUUGAUCUGUUCGAUCAUUAAAAUCUUACAUGAUCUGAGCU
rnacentral:rRNA from 1 species